AUUGAACGCUGGCGGCAGGCCUAACACAUGCAAGUCGAGCGGAUGAAGAGAGCUUGCUCUCUGAUUCAGCGGCGGACGGGUGAGUAAUGCCUAGGAAUCUGCCUGGUAGUGGGGGACAACGUUUCGAAAGGAACGCUAAUACCGCAUACGUCCUACGGGAGAAAGUGGGGGAUCUUCGGACCUCACGCUAUCAGAUGAGCCUAGGUACGAUUAGCUAGUUGGUGAGGUAAAGGCUCACCAAGGCGACGAUCGUUAACUGGUCUGAGAGGAUGAUCAGUCAAAGUGGAACGUAGGAACGGUCCAGACUACUACGGGAGGCAGCAGUGGGGAAGAUUGGACAAUGGGCGAAGGCCUGAUCCAGCCAUGCCGCGUGUGUGAAGAAGGUCUUCGGAUUGUAAAGCACUUUAAGUUGGGAGGAAGGGCAGUAAGUUAAUACCUUGCUGUUUUGACGUUACCGACAGAAUAAGCACCGGCUAACUUCGUGCCAGCCGCCGCCGUAA
rnacentral:rRNA from 1 species